rnacentral:lncRNA from 1 species
UAGGGAGGGAGGGAGAGAGGCCCAGAGGGAGAGAAGGAGGGAUGUAGGGAGGGAGAGAGAGAGGCCCAGAGGGAGAGGAGGAGGGAUGUAGGGAGGGAGAGAGAGAGGCCCAGAGGGAGAGAAGGAGGGAUGUAGGGAGGGAAAGAGAGAGAGGCCCAGAGGGAGAGAAGGAGGGAUGUAGGGAGGGAGAGAGAGAGGCCCAGAGGGAGAAAAGGAGGGAUGUAGGGAGGGAGAGAGAGAGAGAGGCCCAGAGGGAGAGGAGGAGGGAUGUAGGGAGGGAGAGAGAGAGAGGCCCAGAGGGAGAAAAGGAGGGAUGUAGGGAGGGAGAGAGAGAGGCCCAGAGGGAGAGAAGGUGGAAAGGAGGAAGGGAAGGCGAGAGAGAGACAUCAGACUGUUGUAAAGUUGUAAACACGUCUCCAGACGGAAGCAGAGCCACAGAGACCAGUUCUACCAGUAGUAGACACCACUGUUCCCCUCCUAUUCCACAGAGACCAGUUCUACCAGUAGUAGACACCACUGUUCCCCUCCUAUUCCACAGAGACCAGUUCUACCAGUAGUAGACACCACUGUUACCCUCCUAUUCCACAGAGA